rnacentral:tmRNA from 1 species
GGGGGCGACUUGGUUUCGACGGGAAGCCAAGAACCAUGAACCACGUGCCGAGCUGCAAACCUCGUAAAAAGAUGCACCUUAAACAUAAACGCAGAUAACAAUCUCGCACUAGCAGCCUAAAUACAGGCUGCCGAUUACCAAGAGUCGCCUAUAGCUCUGAAGUGAUCGUCAUACUCUUGUAGGCUGGUCUCGUGAACAUGACUCAGGGAACACGAGAUAAGAUUUACUGAGUGGGGUUUCAAGCGUUUUCGCCCUGAUUAGCCGCUUGUGACCGACACUUUAAUCAGGGAAACGCACGUAAACGUUGAUGGGGAAGAUUCUCGGACCCGGGUUCAAUUCCCGGCGCCUCCACCA